GCUCUGACCAGUUCAAUUCAUCUGACGGAGGAUUAAAAGAAUGAUUUCCUUAACCAUAAACAGAUACACAAGAAUCCAAACAACGCAACUCAAAUAUAAAUUUCAUUUCGAAACGCUUCGCGUCAGUUUCUUGAAUAUAAUCCGAUCAGUUCUAUGUUAACAGUUCAAGAGAAAAGAAUCGAAAUGCUACUCUAACUGUGUGAGACUUACGUUAAGGCGGACUUCCGGCAGCUCCCGAGGCUACUGUUCUUCAUUGCCCGGCACAAGUUUGAUGUUCCGAAGGAAGUAAGGAAGUAGAAAAUCUGAUUUAGCAGGCGAUCUGAUUAUGUGACAAAAAGAGUGUGCCGUUCGUGAAUACCUGGACUGUAAACGGGGAUAUCUACCUCGAGGAACGUCUACAGAAGCGUCUACUUCCUCUGUUGAAGAAAUACGAGGUACCUACGAUCUUCUGGUCGGAACUAAAUGCGUGCCACUAUAACCUCAAAAAUAAAAAAAAAAUAUUAUAGUCCUUUAUGUCAUCGAUGACGAGGCUGGAAUUGGUCAGCCGGCUCUGGAUAUAUGACCAGGACAUGCUUCGCUCUGACCAGUUCAAUUCAUCUGACGGAGGAUUAAAAGAAUGAUUUCCUUAACCAUAAACAGAUACACAAGAAUCCAAACAACGCAACUCAAAUAUAAAUUUCAUUUGUGAGUAUUCUCCAUCUACCCUUCUUUCCACAGCUAGCAUGGAGUUGAAACAUGUAUAAAACACACUUAUUUUGAAUUGAUGUUUAUUUUCUAAAUCGUCAUGGCAGCGAAACGCUUCGCGUCAGUUUCUUGAAUAUAAUCCGAUCAGUUCUAUGUUAACAGUUCAAGAGAAAAGAAUCGAAACGCUACUCUAACUGUGUGAGACUUACGUUAAGGCGGACUUCCGGCAGCUCCCGAGGCUACUGUUCUUCAUUGCCCGGCACAAGUUUGAUGUUCCGAAGGAAGUAAGGAAGUAGAAAAUCUGAUUUAGCAGGCGAUCUGAUUAUGUGACAAAAAGAGUGUGCCGUUCGUGAAUACCUGGACUGUAAACGGGGAUAUCUACCUCGAGGAACGUCUACAGAAGCGUCUACUUCCUCUGUUGAAGAAAUACGAGGUACCUACGAUCUUCUGGUCGGAACUAAAUGCGUGCCACUAUAACAAACCAAACAAAUAUCAGCAACACCGUCAACGCCAAUUGACCUAAAGUGAUCGUCGCUGCGGUUUCACAGGAAGAACGGACCUGCUCUUUUUAUUCAUUUCCUGGACUACUUAGCCACUGAACUGCAGUUCUUGCGUUCUCAAUGAACGAUUGUUUCUGUGUGGAGACUUGUGGAUUGUGUAUUGCACCGCGAGUUCUUUUUAAAUUAGCCGUUACAUUUUUAUUUUAUAACUACAUGCUAAUGAUCCUAGGAGUUGAUAUUUCGUUAUUUUAUCGUUUCUUAUAAGUUAUAUUACUUGUUUUAAUAAUAAUUGUAUUCAGGUUCAACCAUAAUUAAUCUUAGGAGAAUUGAAUUUUAUCGCACACCCAACCUAUUUCUGCAUACAAUUCAUCCCGAACGCUACUAUACUGCGCCUCCGUGCAUGAAACGCAAUCUCCUUGCAUGGGUAUU